GGUAGCUCAGUGGUAGAGUGCUUGCCUUGCAAGCAUGAGGUCUUAGGUUCAAUUCCUCAGUACCA
rnacentral:tRNA from 1 species